CCCUUGCUCGCUGCUGCUGCCACGUAAGAAGUGUGUUGCUUCCCCUUCGUCUUCCACCAUGAAUAACAGAAUGGCAAUUUUCGUGUGGUGUUAAUUUCCGUGGAAGAAGAAAAGGCUCGACUCUCUGUCCUAUUUUUCAUGAAUACUGGAAGUAGGGAAUAAACCUGGAGUCUCACGGGUGAAAAGAGACAUUUCCAUAUCACCAGACCACAAACGUGGGUGUUGAUUCUAAGGAUACCCCCAAUAAACAUCUUUCGUGCUAAAGCCCAUUCCAGAAUUUACUUCCCAGCUAUCUUUGAUGUUCAUAUUGUCAGAGGUGGUGGCCGCUGAAACAGGCAAAGACAUGGAGCAUAUCUUGGGUCCAGGACCUUGGGAGUCCAGAGGAAGGUCUUUUUACCAUCAGCAUUCUCUACUGUGUUCAAUGACUGUCAGCCAAAGAUGGCCAGGUUCUCUACUGUGAUGGUGAAUUUUAUGUGUCAAUUUGACUGGACCAUGGGAUGCCCAGCUUUCCUUCAGAAAGAAAUGCAUUCAAAGAACCUACAUUCACAACAUAAAGAAAUAAAGCCUGCACCUACAGAUCUACACACAUGCCCAUGCACAUGCAGGAAGUGUUCAUCUAAGACUGGACCUUUUAGAAGAAAGCUGGCAUACAUUCGUGAAGGCAUGGGCUUCCAGGCAUGUCAUCUUCACUCACGAAGCACACACAAGACCGCCAAGCAUUAAGAUUCUCCUGUGGAGCCAGGCUACAAUCCUUUAAAUGAAGACAGACAGCUAGGUGGCUGCAGCCCAGCGCUACACCUCACCCCUCCCUCAGUGUCAUGCAGAAAAAAUGUAUUCAGAACUCAGAAGUGAAGUUGUGCAAAUCCAUCAUUGACACUAGCUUCAAGGUUACCUCGGGGGAGCAGAAUGUACCCCUGCCAGAGAGCUGGAUAGAUGAUGAUGGGGACAGAAAUUCUGGGGGAGUUGUAAAUGGCAGCCACUGCCUCUAUAGGAAACCCAAAGGGAACACAGCAGAAGAGGAGGUGGUGGAGGAGCCACUGCCCUCUCGAAGGGUUCAAUGUCAUUCUGCAGACACAACCAAAUAACUUUUUCUUCCCUGCUGCUCCUCCAUUUGAAAUGACAGCCCCGAGCUCGCUUUUUCCUUGAUUGUGUAACUCUGAUUACAGACAAGGCCAAGGCAAUCCCAGGGCAUUACUACAAAGCUAAGGGGUCCCCAAAGAACUAAAGAGUCAGCUCCACAAAAAUCCCGAUUCCUAGCAUGAAACUGAAAUAUGAAACCAAACGGGCAUAGAAAAGGUAUGUGCAUUCGAAUCACAUAGCAGUGACUGGAGUCCUGAGCUGUGUCUGAAGACUGUGAGAUCACGUUUGGAGCUGCUGAUUGGUUUUCAGUGAUGGCCCUGUUGCACAGUGCCGUGAGACUUAGCUCCAUGGCCAAAGACGAUGGUAUCCCCUAGGAGCCCUGUGAGGUUGCUGCUGUUCUCUUAAGACACCAGGUAGCCAUCUGAUCCUCCCUGAGCAAACUAACUGGGCAGACAGGUUUAUUAAACCUCUGUUGGUCCGACUUACAUGAAACAAGAGAGUUAUUUUGUUGUUGUUGUUUUGUUUUGUUUUAAAUUAAACCUGUCUUUGGAGCCUCCUGCUCUUAGUUUACAAGUCUUCUUUGCACACUCUAAUAUUUUAAGAAGCAGCAAACAUUAACUGAGGGUCUA
rnacentral:lncRNA from 10 species